rnacentral:rRNA from 1 species
UCUUUUCUUUGCUGGCGACCGGCGCACGGGUGAGUAACACGUAUCCAACCUGCCCUUUACUCGGGGAUAGCCUUUCGAAAGAAAGAUUAAUACCCGAUGGCAUAAUGAUUCCGCAUGGUUUCAUUAUUAAAGGAUUCCGGUAAAGGAUGGGGAUGCGUUCCAUUAGGUUGUUGGUGAGGUAACGGCCCACCAAGCCUUCGAUGGAUAGGGGUUCUGAGAGGAAGGUCCCCCACAUUGGAACCGAGACACGGUCCAA